CAACAUCGGCCUCAUACGACCGUGUCCCCAUUUUAACCUUAAACCCUAAAUCAUUUCUUUUACAUUGUCUUCUUCUUCACCAUCUAACCCUAGCACCAUUGCUCACAACCCCAACCCCAUUCCAGCCAUCGUCGUCCCCAUUCCAUCACUGGUUGUUCCACCUUCUCCCUCAUCAUCCCCAUGACCCAUUAUCCUUCUCCUUUUAUCCCCAUCGCCGCACCCCCCAUCAAGCUUUACCUUCCUACACCCCAUACCAAAGCCGCUCCCCCUCUAACCACGCGAACCUUUGGUCAACAUCACACCUGCUCACCUCAUCACCCCUCUCACCAAGUGAGCCAUGUCCCUCACCGACCCCGAUUCCUUCCCCCUUUCCCUUCGACACGCACCCACGCCUCGCCCACACACACGUGCCUCCGAACACCCUCAACAGCUCCGUUCCAC
rnacentral:lncRNA from 1 species